UCAACUAAAUAUUUUUUCCAAGAUUUACUGAUGGAUGGACUAAUUUGGUUGUGUGCAUUGUCCUCUCGUUCGCCUAGCUUGUGUUCGAUUGGAUGAAAUUCUAGCAUCCUUGGCAUAAAAUGCCUUACAUGUUUUGGUUAACAUUGUAUGGUAUUAACGUUGUCAAGUUAAAACUGAAGCUCAAAUAAAAUGCCGAUCUCAUUCUCAUAGAAUGAGAGAAACCUUUUGA
rnacentral:misc_RNA from 1 species